GCACCCACCUAAAACUGACGACCUCAUCGUCGGUGACCCGUCGGACUUUAGCGAGCACCGACGUAUCUACAAUUACGGGAGUCAACGCUCCUUUGACGGCCGACGACGCAUCGGACCCUCACGAGGACCGAUGCAUCUACAAUGACGGGAGUUGACACUCCUUCAACGACGUGUCGGACCCUCACAAGGGCCGGCGGACUCUUAUAAACGGGAGUUGCACUCCUUCGACUUCCGGCAACACAUCCGCCCCUGACAAAGGUCGAUGCAUCUGUUGCGACGGGAGUUCAUACUCCUUCUACGGUCGAAUUUUCGGGCGGAUCCAUCGACCGACAGGCCGAUCAGGCCCCGACCAAAGAAAGGCUAAAAGCCCACACGACUAUUGUCGCGACUUCCGACCAGACUACGGCCGGUCGAGGGGUAUUCGGCUUACCGCCG
rnacentral:lncRNA from 1 species